AUUUCUUUGAUAAGUCUAUUUCGUGUUUAUCACUACUCUUCUCUUCUCCAGAAGGACGAAAAUGGCGGUUUUUAUUCAAAUCACUUAAUGCUACCUGAAGCUCUCUUUCUCCAUUAGCUUCGUUGCCCAAAUCCUGUUGACCUGACUCAUCUUCUGGUUCGUUACCGGAGCACGGUCGAGGUACUACCAUGUGAGCUAGAUUUGAAUAAUGUAGAAGCCAUCAAAAGGCUCAACUCGAACGGAAUUGCUCUUGAAGAAGGAAUUCCACCGUUCCGAUUCCUCAAGUAUAUCGUUCUCCGUGAUGAGGUGUGGUUCAACCAUUCUAAACUUGUUGAAGACAAAGGUGCUCGAAAGCUGAUCAGUACUUGGAUCAGAAGAUCUCACAGGUUGUUGCUUUAGUUGUUUUAUUUGGUGUUAGCGAGGCCGUGACAGAAGAAAUGCCGAAACUCAGGUUGUUCAUGGAAGUAUGAUUUGGAAAAUGGUGCAGGCACUUCACCGAAGGUCGUGAACAUCAAACGAUAUUUUUUACUUCUUGGUGACAGGGUAUGUGUUAGGACUUGUUCCAGCUCAGACCAGCUCUAUGCUCGCUUGUUGGAGUUGUUGUAACAUAUUUUAUGGAUCUCCAUAGCACAAUUCUAUAGCCUUUGUGUCAACCGCUAUUACUAGAAUGAACAGAAGGAAGAUACGCAACGCUUCUGGUCUGGUAAACACAUAUAGUUCUAAACUUGGUUACUGUUUAUUAGUAAUAUGUUUCAGUCUACUAAUUUUUGUUCAUAAGGAUAGGUUAUAUCACACUGCGACAUGCAAUACAUUUUUACAAGAAUUACGUUGUCAGUAAAGAUUAAUGCAAGUUGAUUUUCUUUUCAUGUUGUCUACUC